GAUGAAGAACGCAGCGAAAUGUGAUACUUGGUGUGAAUUGCAGAAUCCCGUGAACCAUCGAGUCUUUGAACGCAAGUUGCGCCCGAAGCCAUUAGGCCGAGGGCACGCCUGCCUGGGCGUCACACGUCGUUGCCCCCCCAUCUACUCCUUCGGGAUUGUGGGGGGCGGAUGAUGGCCUCCCGUGCGCCUCGUCGCGCGGUUGGCAUAAAUACCAAGUCCUCGGCGACGCACGCCACGACAAUCGGUGGUUGCGAAACCUCGGUUGCCCGUCGUGUGCGGUCGUCGCGCAUCGAGGGCUCGAAAAAAUUGCCGGGCUCCGGCUCGGCUUUCAACGCGACCCCAGGUCAGGCGGGGUUACCCGCUGAAUUUAAGCAUAUCAAUAAGCGGAGGA
rnacentral:misc_RNA from 1 species